rnacentral:rRNA from 1 species
UACGUAGGGUGCAAGCGUUAAUCGGAAUUACUGGGCGUAAAGCGUGCGCAGGCGGCUUUGCAAGACAGAUGUGAAAUCCCCGGGCUCAACCUGGGAACUGCAUUUGUGACUGCAUGGCUAGAGUACGGUAGAGGGGAUGGAAUUCCGCGUGUAGCAGUGAAAUGCGUAGAUAUGCGGAGGAACACCGAUGGCGAAGGCAAUCCCCUGGACCUGUACUGACGCUCAUGCACGAAGC